GCCACUGUAGCUUAGCUGGUUAGAGCGGCAGUUUCGUAAACUGCAGGUCGUGGGUUCAAAUCCCCCCAGUGGCU
rnacentral:tRNA from 1 species